rnacentral:rRNA from 1 species
GACGAACGCUGGCGGCGUGCCUAAUACAUGCAAGUCGAGCGGACGAAUCGAAAGCUUGCUUUUGAUUCGUUAGCGGCGGACGGGUGAGUAACACGUGGGCAACCUGCCCUGUAGACGGGGAUAACACCGAGAAAUCGGUGCUAAUACCGGAUAACACGAAAUGUCGCAUGACGUUUCGUUGAAAGACGGCGCAAGCUGUCGCUACAGGAUGGGCCCGCGGCGCAUUAGCUAGUUGGGGAGGUAACGGCUCACCAAGGCGACGAUGCGUAGCCGACCUGAGAGGGUGAUCGGGCACACUGGGACUGAGCCAAGGCCCAGACCCCUACGGGAGGGCGCAGUAGGGAACCUUACGCAAUGGACGAAAGGCUGACGGAGCCACGCCGAGUGAGCGAAAAAGGCCUUCGGGUCGUAAAGGUCUGUUGUUAGGGAAGAACAAGUAACGCAGGAACGUGCGUUACCGUGACGGUACCUAACGAGAAAGCCACGGCUAACUACGUG